GUCGAACGAAGCACCUUGGACAGAUUCUUCGGAUGGAGUCCUUAGUGACUGAGUGGCGGACGGGUGAGUAACGCGUGGGUAACCUGCCUCAUACAGGGGGAUAACAGUUAGAAAUGGCUGCUAAUACCGCAUAAGCGCACGGUACUGCAUGGUACAGUGUGAAAAACUCCGGUGGUAUGAGAUGGACCCGCGUUGGAUUAGCUAGUUGGUGAGGUAACGGCCCACCAAGGCGACGAUCCAUAGCCGACCUGAGAGGGUGACCGGCCACAUUGGGACUGAGACACGGCCCAAACUCCUACGGGAGGCAGCAGUGGGGAAUAUUGCACAAUGGGCGAAAGCCUGAUGCAGCGACGCCGCGUGAGCGAAGAAGUAUUUCGGUAUGUAAAGCUCUAUCAGCAGGGAAGAUAAUGACGGUACCUGACUAAGAAGCACCGGCUAAAUACGUGCCAGCAGCCGCGGUAAUACGUAUGGUGCAAGCGUUAUCCGGAUUUACUGGGUGUAAAGGGAGCGCAGGCGGUGCGGCAAGUCUGAUGCGAAAGCCCGGGGCUCAACCCCGGUACUGCAUUGGAAACUGUCGUACUAGAGUGUCGGAGGGGUAAGCGGAAUUCCUAGUGUAGCGGUGAAAUGCGUAGAUAUUAGGAGGAACACCAGUGGCGAAGGCGGCUUACUGGACGAUAACUGACGCUGAGGCUCGAAAGCGUGGGGAGCAAACA
rnacentral:rRNA from 1 species